rnacentral:rRNA from 1 species
UACGGAGGGUGCGAGCGUUAAUCGGAAUCACUGGGCGUAAAGCGCGCGUAGGCGGCUUUUCAAGUCAGGGGUGAAAUCCCACGGCCCAACCGUGGAACUGCCUUUGAAACUGUAGAGCUUGAGUGUCGGAGAGGGCGGCGGAAUUCCAGGUGUAGGAGUGAAAUCCGUAGAUAUCUGGAGGAACACCGGUGGCGAAGGCGGCCACCUGGACGACAACUGACGCUGAGGUGCGAAAGCGUGGGUAGCAAACAGG